rnacentral:rRNA from 1 species
UACGGAGGGGGCUAGCGUUGUUCGGAAUUACUGGGCGUAAAGCGCACGUAGGCGGCUUUGUAAGUUAGAGGUGAAAGCCCGGGGCUCAACUCCGGAAUUGCCUUUAAGACUGCAUCGCUAGAAUUGUGGAGAGGUAAGUGGAAUUCCGAGUGUAGAGGUGAAAUUCGUAGAUAUUCGGAAGAACACCGGUGGCGAAGGCGGCCAUCUGGCUCGGUACUGACGCUCAGGUUCGAAAGCGUGGGGAGCAAACAGG